UUUAGAGUUUGAUCCAUGGCUCAGAUUGAACGCUGGCGGCAGGCUUAACACAUGCAAGUCGAGCGGUAACAGGUCCAGCUUGUUGGAUGUUGACGAGCGGCGGACGGGUGAGUAACGCAUAGGAAUCUACCCGGUAGUGGGGGAUAACCUGGGGAAACCCAGGCUAAUACCGCAUACGUCCUACGGGAGAAAGGGGGCUUAGGCUCCCGCUAUUGGAUGAGCCUAUGCCGGAUUAGCUGGUUGGUGAGGUAAUGGCUCACCAAGGCGACGAUCCGUAGCUGGUCUGAGAGGAUGAUCAGCCACAUCGGGACUGAGACACGGCCCGAACUCCUACGGGAGGCAGCAGUGGGGAAUAUUGGACAAUGGGGGCAACCCUGAUCCAGCCAUGCCGCGUGUGUGAAGAAGGCCCUCGGGUUGUAAAGCACUUUCAGCGAUGGAAGAACGCCUGUCGGUUAAUACCCGGUAGGAAAGACUACACUCGCAGAAGAAGCACCGGCA
rnacentral:rRNA from 1 species